UUUGAAUAGGCUGACCAUCAGUGAAAAGAGAGGUUUGAUGUCUCACAAAUAGGACAUCUGAGAAUAUGAAGUCAAUGUGACACUCAGGGGGAGCCAACUGGCAUGUUAUGAAGACACUUGAGCAGCUGUACAUGCAGACAAGUCCUCAUGAUGAGGGGUUCAGGCCUCCUGCCAACAGCCAUGGGAGUGAGCCAUCUUGGAAUCAGGUCCCUCAGCUUCUGUUAGGCAACUCUGCAACUCUGCCUGAUGUCUUGACUACAGUCCUGGAGACCCUGAGCCAGACCCGUCCAGCUCAGCUGCUUCCAGAUUCCCAACCCUCAGACACUGGGGGAAGAUGCCAACUCUUGGGUAAAAUGAUGCUUCCAAGCUCCCCACUUUGUCAGGAGAAGAACCAUGGCUUGAACCCACAUGGCACUGAGUACAAGGCAUCAUGAAGCUGGAUCCAAAUGGAAAGUUAACCAGUUGCUGCUCACCUGUCAGUGGGUACAAAAGGAGUCUUUAAGCUGACAUGCAAUCCUACCCAACUCAGCAGAGAAGGUUGGAAUAGAACUCCAGGCUGGGGAACUAAGUUUGAAUUUUACUCCAAAAUCAAAUAUCUUCUUGGGAAACCUCUGACACAGGUUAUUACAGACUGCCAGAGCUAUUGGGAGCCUUAGAUAUGAUCUAAUGUGACCUUUUCAUUUUAUAAAUGUGAAAACUAACUCCAGGAGAGACUUGUGUGG